rnacentral:tRNA from 1 species
GCAGUCGUGGCCGAGUGGUUAAGGCGAUGGACUAGAAAUCUAUUGGGGUGUCCCUGCACAGGUCCGAAUCCUUGCGACUGCG